AUUUUAAUCUAUCUCUCUGUCUCUGUCUCUCUCUGUCUCUCUCUGUCUCUCUCUUACUCUCUCUCCCUGGUGAUUCCAUGUUUCUCCUCUCUCAAUCCCACUGAGGUUAUUCCGAGUUCUAUUUCCCUCUGUCUGCUCCAAUUGCCAACUGUGAAUGCACGUGGUGCAGCUGGGAAGGAGGAGAAGAAGGGGGAGCAGGACACCUGGAGCAGGACAGAAGGAUAUAGGACUGGAAGAGCACGUUUGAUCCAGCUCUCUUCUUCUCUCCAGAGAGGAAAUUAGGCACCCACUCUGUCCUAGCAAAGGUGCUCACUUGUCCCUGGUAUUUCUGCUCCACACAACAUCAGUCAGCAUCGACUAAUCACCUCCCUGUUCCAAGCACUGAACUGGUGCCCUUGGGUGACAUGUACCAGUGCCAAUAGGCAACAUGGGGCAAUGGGUAUUGUAUAACUUGUGGAUCUAACACAUGAUUCCUUGCUAUCUGUGUGAACUUGAACUUAUUGAACUGCUCCUCCUCUUAGUUUUCUUAUAAGACUAGAAUGAAUAAUAGUACCAGUUCAAAGGACUGUUUGGUGCAUAAAUGAAAAAAAAAAAAAACAAGUUAAGCACUUAUCACAGAGCUUGGCAGGUAGGAAACUCACCAUCCAGGGAGGAGAAAGGCACACAAGCAAGCAAGUCAGCCUCUCUGGGCAGAGCUUAUUAAAGGCAGGGCAUUCAGACUGAAGGACUCAAAGGAGGCUUCAUAAAGAACAGCCCUUUGUGUUAGGGCCCAAGGAUUGUCUUGGCAAAUAGACCAAAUGCUCACUUAGGCCUUUCCCUAUCCCUUGUUCAGGGCUUUGAAUAUGGAAAGAGAAUAUGGGCUUAAUUUUUAAUAAAUCUCAAAUCUUCUGCCAACACCUGGAGGCCACAAUGCACAUAGUCAUGUAAUGAUUUAUAGUCUGUCAGCAUACACACAAAAAAUAUAUAUUUAUCUAGACUUGCCAAAGGAGCAACAUUGUGUCUGUGUCCACCUAUACUUAUGCAGGUACAGAGAGCCAUCCUGGGGUGUUCCAUUCCACCAAGCAGGGACAGAAGGUCUUUCAUUUCUUUGUUGUGGUCUUAAACUCAUUGCAUAGGGGUUGGCACUGUGGUAUAGUGGGUUAAGCCUCCGCCUGAGGCACUGGCAUCCCAUAUGGGCGCCAGUCCAUGUUCUGGCUGCUCUUCUUCUGUUCCAGCUCUCUGCUAUUGCCUGGGAAAACAGUGGAGGAUGGCGCAAGUGGUUGGCCCCUGCAUCCACAUAGGAGACCCAGAAGAAACUCCUGGCUCUUGGCUGCUGAUUGGCCCAGCUCCUGCCAUUGUGGCCAUUUGAGUUGAAGGACUUGAUGUUGGAUGGAAACGCUUGCUUACCUUCCUUCUGGACACCAGGCUCUGUCAUCGUGUUCUGGGACUGGCUCUGUCACACGCUGGUUAUGGGAAUGAGAACAAGACCCCAAGCUGGCCAAGCACAGCAGUGUGUCCUUCUAUGCACAGGGAGUGGCUCUGGGAGGGUCACAUGACCCAAGAUAUUCUUUUGGAGUUCUUCUUUGGGAAUUUUAAGAAAAUAAUCUUAAGGGCCAGUGCUGUGGCAUAGCGGGUAAAACUGCCACCUGCAGUGCUGGCAUCCCACAUGGGCGCCAGAUCGAGUCCCGGCUGCUCCACUUCCGAUCCAGCUCUCUGCUAUGGCCUGGGAAAGCAGUGGAAGAUGGCCCAAGUCCUUGGGCCCCUGUACCCAUGUGGGAGACCUGGAGGAAGCUCCUGGCUCCUGACUUCGGAUCAGCACAGCUCCAGCCAUUGCAGCCAAUUGGGGAGUGAACCAUUGGAUGGAAGACUCUCUCUCUCUCUCUCUUUUUGCCUUUCCUUUUCUCUGUGUAACUUUGACUU